AGAGACAAGUGAGAGAGGCUGAAGAACCGGCUGGGCAAGUGCGUCUGGCUUGUCCCCAACCACCCAGAGGAUUUUAUGAGCGAAGCAUUUCAGUGACUUUUAAGAGGGUGGCUGUGAAGAUCAGGUGCGUGAAUGCACCUAAAAGGCUUAGACAGUUCUGGCGCAUGAUAGCAAAAGCUAGAGCAGUCACUUGGAUCCAGAGAUGGCCUCCCUCUCCAUGUGGUCUUUCAUCCUCAAGGAAGAUAGUCCACGCUACUUUCCUUACAUGGUGGUUCCAAGAGAAAGCCCCAAAGCACCAGCGCUUCUAAGAUGGCUCACUUACUCUGGGGGAAGCCAGCCGCCAUGUUGUGAGGAGACCCAAGCAGCCCUUGGAGAAGCCUGCAAGGUGAGGAGCUGAGUCUGCCUGCCAACCAUCAGCACCAGCUUGCUAACUAUGUGAGUGAGCCACUGUGGGAAAGGGUCCUCCAGCCCCAAUCAAACCUUCAAGUGACUGCAGUCCCAACUGACAUCUUCCCACAACUUCAUGAGACCCUAAGUCAGAACCAGCAGCUAAGCUGCCCCUGGAUUCCUGAGCCACAGGAGCUAUGUGAGAGAAUAAGUGUUUAUGGUUUUCAGCUGCUAAGUUUAGGGGUAGUCUGUGACCUAGAAAUAGAUUAAAAAUAUAGCUGAGGAUGAGAAUGUGCUGGCAUGGAACAUCUGCAGAAAGCAUAUGACAGGAUAAGACUGUGUGGCCCAGACUUGCUUUGGUGGAACCUCAGGCACCAAAGGCCGCCGUGCAGACUCCACUGACUUAUCCCAUAUCAGAGAGAAGACGAAGGGAAGCUCCUUUGGGAACUGAGGGAAGGAGCCCAAACCAUUGGAAACAGCUGCUAAUUUCCAUGUCCUUUUAGGAUAUGUCCUGCUUCAUGAUCGUGAGAGCCAAAAUAAAUUCACAAUUCCUCUGUUAGUCACAAUACCAGGAUUUCUGAGUGCCCAUCCUAGUGACAGUGAGAGGGCAGUCUUUUCGCUUCCUAAGAGUCCAAAAUUGAUCUCGGAACACAGAAUAGGUGCUCAAUAAACAUUUGUGAACGAACUAAUACAUCAGCGAAUGAAUAUAAGACUUUUUAAAAGCCAAAAACAUCCGUGUCCUCAAGACGCUGACAGCCUAAUGAGGAAGGCAGACUGUAAAAGCUAGACAUGGAUCCUGCCCACCCCCCCACACCCCCCCUUCCCUCAGUGCUUUGCCAGAGGGAGGCAUGGGAGCUUCAGGAGCCCAGAGAGGUGCCCAACCUGGCCCAGGGCCUCAGGGCAGGCUUCCUGGGGAAGGACAACACGCCUCGAGACCUAUAAAGGAAGGAAGGGGAAAGGUGCUCCACAUAGAGGUCACGGCUUCAGCAAGCGCCUGGCGAGGGGAACCUGCAUGGUGCGCACUGCGAAUUCUAAGCCUCGAGGAGGGACCUAGAGGGAGGAAGAGAGGUCUGCAGGGAAUUCAAAUUGACCCUAAGCUAACAUCUGUGCCAGUCUUCCUCUACUUUGUAUAUGGGACGCUGCCACAGCAUGGCUUGAUGAGUAGUGCGAAGGUCCGAGCCAGGGAUUGGAAUCUGUGAACCCCGGACCGCCAAAGCAGAAAGCGUGAACUUAACCACUACGCCAUGGAGGGACCGCCGUGCCCAGUUGGUUUAAAUCAGCGCCUCUGAGAUGGCAGCACCAGGAGACCCCUUGGGCUCCAAGCAUCCAACCCCCAUGAGACAGCAGAGCUUCAUCCUGCAAGGCACGGCACCAAGUCAAAGAACUGGGUGAGCCCCCUCACACGGAGGGCGCUGGAUAGAGACGUUUAGUGUAACCAGAAAUUCAUUCUUCCCUCCAGCAAAUGUUUAUUAAGCAUCCACUAUGUUCCAGCUGUUAGAAGCCGUGGGGUUGCAACAGACAAUAAACCAAUAUAGUCUGUGUGAGUGUGUGUGUGUAUGUGUGUGAGAUGUUGAAAAGUUCUCCUAGGGAGAAAAAUUAAGACGGGAAGGGGAACAAGGAAUGUGGAAAUGGUUUGCAAUUUGAAAUAGGAUGGUGCAGGAAGGCCUUCUGGGAAGGGACCUUUGAAUAGAGAUCAGAAGAUAUGGUGGGAAUAAGCCAUGAAGACAUCUGAGGGAAGAGGGUCCCAGGCAGAGGGGACAGCAAGUGCAAAUGCCCUGGGGCAAGAUUGUGCUUGUCAUGGUUCAAAGAGCAGUGAAGAAGCCAGAGAGGGGGCUGAGGCAGGGGGCCAGAUGGAGUAAGGCCUUCCAGGUCACCAGGAUGCCCCAAAGUGGAUGUAAUACAUAGUGACAAAGGUACACAAUAGGAGUGAGGCCCAGAGCCGCUCAUUAGGCAACUCUAAACUUGUGUCUCAUUACCCAACCACACCUCCUGCAGUGCACUAUGAAUUAAUAUUUUCUAUAAAUCCUGUAAUUAUCUUGUGAAUAGCACAAUUAUAUUGCAUUGUAUUUGUAUGUGUUAAAAGCGCUCAUUUGUUAAAUGUAAACAUUUGAAAUAUACCAUGUAUUAUGCAGCCCUUUUCACACUUUUAUUUAAUAAACUGGAAGCCUUAAAAUUGGAAGCAGAAGGGCCUUUUCUUCCAAGAGUUCCCUGGAGGCAGGUCUACACUCACACUCAUCCACACCCUCACAUACACCACACUGACUCACCCACUCACCCACAGUGCCCAGCCAGAAGCCCGGGCUGGGAGGCAGAGACCUGUUCACCUGCCACUCGGGGUGGCCUCGGGCAGAUCCCUGCAGUGUCUUCCACUCCCUCCACCUCACCUUGCCCAGCCCUUAACAGUUUAUAGACAGCGUCCUUGUCCUCAUGGACCUUCACUACAAAAUGGGCAGGGGUUAAUGUGUCCAUUUUACAGACAGGUAAACUGAGGCUCUGAGUGGUGCCUGCUCAAAGCGG
ensembl:lncRNA